GGAUUGAUGUCUGAGUGGUCAAUAGAAAUAGACUGUAAAUCUAUAGAAGUUAUUCUUCAUCGGUUCAAAUCCGAUUCAAUUCA
rfam:Toxoplasma gondii VEG unlocalized apicoplast scaffold scaffold00504, whole genome shotgun sequence.